rnacentral:sRNA from 1 species
UUAAUAAUAGUAUCUUAUUCAACUUAUACACCUUGGUUUCUUCAAUUUCCUUCACAAAACCUUGUGCUAGAGGCUUUUUCUCCACACAUGACAUUUGCUCAACAUAGACUUCUUCCUUCAAGACCCCACUUAGAAAGGUUGACUUAACAUCCAGUUGAUAUUGAUUCCAUUUCUUAUGUGUAGCAAGUGCAUCAAGGUUCUUAUAGUAUCCAAUCUUGCCACAGGAGCAAAAAUCUCAUUGUAGUCAAUUCCAGGUUUCAGUGAGUAACAUUUGGCUACUAAUUUGGCUAUAUUUUUCUGUAUUAAGUCAUCCAGAUUAAGUUUGGUUUAGUAAAAGGUUAGAAGUGAGUGUAGGAUUAUAACCCUCCAGCCGAUGCUUGGAGGCAAAAAACAAGUUUAAAAGAGAUUUUAAUAUUUGUUCUUAGUUUAAAUUAAAGUCGUUGGAUCAUAGUCCAUAUGGAUGCAGUUGCUUGUAUCUAGCUUAAGUGAUAGAUUAUGAC